UACACUUAAGUAUUUAUGUAUAAGAAUUUUUGAUAUUCUUGGAAAUAGGGGUAAGCUAUUAGGUGUAU
rnacentral:tRNA from 1 species